rnacentral:rRNA from 1 species
UACGUAGGGUCCAAGCGUUAUCCGGAAUCACUGGGCGUAAAGCGUGCGUAGGUGGAUAGUUAAGUGCAACAUUAAAUCCCGAGGCUCAACCUCGGGUCUGCAGUCGAUACGAGCAAACUAGAGUGUUGCAGGGGAGACUGGAAUUCCUGGUGUAGCGGUGAAAUGCGCAGAUAUCAGGAGGAACACCGGUGGCGAAGGCGGGUCUCUGGGCAACAACUGACGCUGAGGAGCGAAAGCGUGGGGAGCGAACAGG